ACCUCCCCAACUCAUCCCCUAUUCACUGUGGCAUGCAGAUAUUGUAACCUAAUUGUCUUUCUUUUAAAAGGUAUCUCUGAAUUCAAAUUCCUAAGAGAAUAUUUCCUUGAGACUUUUGAACUUCAUAUAGAUUGUGUGUCCCCUUUUGUAAGAUUUCAUGCAACAACUUCAUUUGGCUUCAGCUGGGAGUGCAAUUAAUGAGUUAGGAGCUAGACGUGAGCAGUGGAAGGAAUGCCCCUGUAGUCAACAAAACCAGCCCACAUCUUCCUCCGACUAGAUGUUAUAGCCUACAGAACUUUCUCUCAGGAGAUGCAAGCCAAGUCCAGAGAGAAGGUGUUGUCAGUUUAACCUCUAGAUAGUCAUAUGGCUUUUAACAUAAAUUAGCAUUUCUGUUACAGCCCCAACCCCACUCAGCAAGAAAGGCUGCCAUGGUGGUUCUGGUACAAAUCUGUCUUCAUUCCAGAGAACUUUGGUGAUCCUUUAGAACAAGUAUCUGAGUUUUCCCAUCUUCACUCUGAAGACCACAGAUGUUGAAUAUAUUAAUUCCUCCUUCCACAUUUCCAGCAACUGGUCAAGCUGGGAUUCAAAUACAGAUUAAUGGAAUCCCUCCUGCAGUUAUGUAUUCCAUCUAUAUUGAAAAGAUUCACCUUCUGAUACUGUUCCCUCUACACAUUAAAGUAUAUGCAUUUCUAGUUUAUGAAAAUUUCGGCUGUCUCAUCCCACCAAUUAAGCCAAUUUACUUAAUGACAAUGAGGACCUUACUUUGUCUGAAUAUUAAUUCCGUCAUCUGCUUUACAACUAAAAAGGUAAAAUGUAUCUUUUGAUCAUUUAUUCACUUCAAUAUAACUUGUUCAGUUUUAAAAAUGAUUUUUUUUCUUUCUUCCAUCAAACAUAAGUGAUGAAGAUGUUCAUUUGCAUCAUCUUUAAUAACAUUACACUAGCAUAAAUGUGUGUGUAUGUUUGUGUGUGUAAAUCUGUCUUGGAUAUUUG
rnacentral:lncRNA from 1 species